rnacentral:rRNA from 1 species
AUUGAACGCUGGCGGCAUGCUUUACACAUGCAAGUCGAACGGUAACAGGUCAAGCUGACGAGUGGCGAACGGGUGAGUAAUGCGUCGGAACGUGCCCGGUCGUGGGGGAUAACGUAGCGAAAGUUACGCUAAUACCGCAUACGAUCUGAGGAUGAAAGCGGGGGACCGUAAGGCCUCGCGCGAUCGGAGCGGCCGAUGUCAGAUUAGGUAGUUGGUGGGGUAAAGGCCUACCAAGCCGACGAUCUGUAGCUGGUCUGAGAGGACGACCAGCCACACUGGGACUGAGACACGGCCCAGACUCCUACGGGAGGCAGCAGUGGGGAAUUUUGGACAAUGGGCGCAAGCCUGAUCCAGCAAUGCCGCGUGCAGGAAGAAGGCCUUCGGGUUGUAAACUGCUUUUGUACGGAGCGAAAAGGCUCCCUCUAAUACGGGGGGUUGAUGACGGUACCGUAAGAAUAAGCACCGGCUAACUACGUGCCAGCCGCCGCUGUAAAAC